rnacentral:antisense_RNA from 1 species
GAUAAUGCAAGUGUUUAACAGAUGCUUCACUAUUAAAAUAUUUCCCCCCCAAGUCUCAAAUAUUGAAGAAUCUCUAACCAGGGACACCAGUCCCUACGAAGACCUUGGGCGAUUUUGAAGUGCGGGCACCUCGAUUCCCCGAAUCUGUAGUGUGGCUGGUAUCGGUGUUCCCCUGGUUUAACUAGCCUGUUUGAAGGCACAGAUCAUUCAUGGGGAAGUAUAACCGAAACCAGUCCUCUCCACCCCCUGGGGAUCUUCACUUUCCCAGUCUACAACUGCCUGUGACUCCAGAAAGACAAACUGCAGAUUGGCCAAGGUCCAGCCUAAAUGUUACCUCCUCCAGGGAGCCUUUCCAGAUACUGCUUCUCCUCUCUCCCCCAACUCCCUCCCACAAAUGAAGUUUUCUCUUCUGAAUUCCUUCCUGGUGCUGUCACUUAUAUUCUUUUGGGUAGAUCUCUGGGCAUGCAUAUGUCACCUCCUGUGACUGUGGGUUUCUUGACAACCUAAUCAAUGCAUUGAACAAGGGAGAUGUUUAGACAACCCAUAUAAAAUGAAUAAGAGAAAUAGGGUGAAUACCGUCUACCCCAAUUGCAAUCAGAUUAGUUUCCUUUAUUUUGAAAACGAUUAUUACUAGUAGAGGAGUUAGAUGUGGCCCACUAGGGAACAAAUCUUCAUCUCCAAGCCGUCCUCUGGCUCGAUCGGGCCUGCACUGGGUCUGCAUCAACUUGCGCUGGCUCAGAGGGAGGCUCAGCCGCAGCCUGGCCUUCCUGGUGUCCACUCCCAACAUCCUGAGCAGGGCCGACUCUAGGCACCCCACGAUUAGCUGAGUGAUCUAGGGCAAGGACCUAGGCGUCUCUAAGUCUUAGUUUCCCCAUCUGAACAAUGGGGAUAAUGACACGUACCUGGGGUGGGCAGGCUAGAGUAAAUGGGAAAAUCAAAGCGCCAGCCAGAGCGGGUCGCGCUGUUAGUAUUCCUGUAUUUUCUCCUCCUGCCUCUUUGGUUUCUUCCGUUCCGUUCUAGCUGCCUGAAGACCCAGCCCGACAGCGAUGCCUGUCAGCCCGCGUCGCCCACCAGGGCAGCUGCUCUCCCGACUCGCAUGGGGGGCACCACCCCGCCUCGGUGCCCUAGAGCUGAGCGCAGCCGCGGCUCCACGGGGAUCGCCAGGGCCUCAGCCCUCGCGGCCGGCGGCGCGGGAGUGUUGCGGGGCAGGGACCAGAGCGCGAUCAGAGCGGCCAACCCCCGAUUUAGGUCGCCAGCUUUCCAGUCACUGCGAUGGCCACUGGGGCGCCCCUUCCAUCCUGGUUAAAUUCUCAUUGUGAUCCCCAGCCCUCUUCUCGGUUCCCCACACCCAGGAGGCCGGUUCUCCGCCGCUCAGGCUGGGAGAGGUCACCGCUCCGGGCAGGGUGGACCCCCAGCUCCGUCUCGGAGGACCUUUCGCCGGAGGCGAGCAGGAAGGGGUUAACCAUGAGCCUCCCACCCUCACCUCCCAGACCCUGGUGCCGGGCGAAGGCCUCCGCUUCCCUCCUGAGGUCUCAUUAGGAAACCCUCACCGCUAUUUUCAACAUUUCCUCAAUCAAGUGUCUUUAAAUAGAGCUGCACAAACAGAUUGGCGGCAAAAGCGUAGAUCUUGUCACGAUUGAGACCAAUCCAGUAUUUCAGCCUUGUUUGCUUUGCAAUUACGGGUUGGCUUGUGGCUACGGUGCCACCGGGGCAAAUCUGCAGCCGCUCGCUUUCUCCUCUGCACUCCGGGCGGGUGGAGGAAGCGACCCGCGGAGUCACUGCAGGGAGGAGAAGGGGACGCGCGCGGGGGGAGGCGGCGGAGGGCGGAGGAGCCUCGCUUGCACCCCAGGGCCGCGGGCACGCAGAGCUGUGUUGAAGGACAUACUUUUCAGGUUCCUGACAGUCACUGAGCUAUACGCAAUAAUAAAGUGCGUGAUUCGCGUGUGGAAACCAGUGUCGUGUCCUUACCAGCUUCCUUUUCUGUCCACCUUCCCUCUCUCUUCUACCUCCGUUUCGCUUUUCUUCAGUGCAUGUUAGCGGUUUGCUGGAUUUCCCUUCUCCCUCGCUGUUCAACUGCUAGCAUGAUUUGUUACAUUUUCCACAGCUGUUUAUUCUUGUUUGACUUUUUGUACAAAGUCACUUUAAAUCUGCUGCAGAAAGAAUAAAGCUCCUAGCCCUUUGGAUGGACUCCUGCAGGCGUGUGGCUGUCCCUGGCCCACUUUUAAUUCUUUGGAGAUGGCUCUUCUGUGUAAAUCAGCUGUUGGGUGCGUUCGGUCACCUCGUAGGCCAGCCUAGUUUGUAUCAGCAGAACAGUAGUGGACUCAACUCAGGUCGUAAGCUUUAUAUUUCACAGACAAUUAAAUCUUGGCUGCUGUUGAACAAAACUGUAGUAUUUACUUUAUUCUAUACCGAGGAGCACUUUUAAAGUAAAAA